GGCCAGGCCUGCAGCUAAGCCCACAGCAGCCAUGGAGCACCUGCACCUCCUGCCAGACACCCUCAGCAGCCUGAGCCCCUAGAUGGCCUGUCAGGUUCCCAGAGGCAGUUCUUCAGGCUUUAAUGAAUAAACAAAUUCAAGGUUACAUAUUAAUAACAAGAUAAGACCCUACAGAAAUCAUCACAAGAAAGUUGGUGACUGCCCUGGCCGGUUUGGCUCAGCGGUUAGAGCGUCAGCCUGCCGUCCAGAGAGACCCAGACCCGCAGGAGUAGCAGGCAGACUAGAGAAAAUGGGAGGAAAGAAAAGAAGAAAGACGAGUUGACUUAACCUCAAGUUUAUCCCAUUUUGAUUUUCUUAUUGCACUCUCUCCUGUUCAAGUUCUGUAUUGGUAAUACUUGAAAAUGAGUACUUCAAAAUUUUAUUUCCACUUCUAAUUCUUGAUUCUUCUCCUUAUAAUUGAUAUUGUAGUUAAUUAUUCUCUAUU